GAUGGUUUGAUUGGUAUUCAAUAUUCAUUUAUUGCUUCUCUGUUUUGACUAUGAUCUCACUCUCUCCACUCUCUCUCGUUUCGCUUCCAAAGACUCUCUUCCAUUGACAGCCUCCUACACCUAUCUGGUAUAGACAUGAAGAAGGGAGGCUUAUCCCCUAAUCUCAAACUCACUGUUCCUGCGGGUGACGCUUCUUUCGCCAAGUUCCUGACUCAAAGCGGAACGUUUAUGGAUGGAGAUCUGCUCGUAAACAGGGACGGAGUUCGGGUUAUUUCUCAUAGCGAAGUUGAAGUCCCACCUCCGAUUCAGCCAACGGACAAUCAGCUGAGUUUAGCGGACGUAGAUACCAUUAAAGUCAUUGGAAAAGGGAGUGGUGGAAUUGUGCAAUUGGUUCGCCACAAAUGGACUGGCCAAUUUUUUGCACUAAAGGUUAUUCAAAUGAAUAUUGAAGAGUCUUCUCGGAAGCUGAUUGCACAGGAAUUGAAAAUUAAUCAAUCGUCACAAUGUCCAAGUAUUGUUGUUUGUUACCAGUCCUUUUAUGAUAAUGGUACCAUUUCUAUCAUCUUAGAAUACAUGGAUGGUGGAUCUCUAGCAGACUUUCUGAAGAAAGUAAAAACUAUCCCAGAGCCGUAUCUUGCUGCCAUUUGCAAACAGGUGCUCAAGGGUUUAUUGUAUCUUCAUCAUGAAAAACACAUCAUACACAGGGAUUUAAAACCUUCCAACUUGUUGAUAAAUCAUAGAGGGGAGGUGAAGAUCACUGACUUUGGUGUGAGUGCAAUAAUGGAAAGCACCUCUGGUCAAGCAAAUACUUUUCUUGGCACCUACAACUAUAUGUCUCCAGAGAGAAUUACUGGAGGCAAAUAUAGUUACAAAAGUGACAUUUGGAGUUUGGGACUAGUGUUGCUUGAGUGUGCAACUGGUCGAUUCCCAUAUAUACCAGAAGAAGGUGACGUGUGGACAAACUUUUUUGAGCUCAUGGACUGCAUUGUCAGUCAACCACCACCUAGUGCAUCUUCUGAUCAAUUUACCAACGAGUUCUGCUCGUUUAUUUCUGCAUGUGUAAAGAAAGAAGCUAAGGAUAGACAGUCAGCACAUCAGCUAAUGAUGCAUCCUUUCAUCAGCAUGUACGAUGACUUGGAUGUUGAUCUUUCAACGUACUUCACCAAUGUGGGAUCUCCACUUGCAACAUUUUCAAUUCCAUAAUGUCAGUCAAUUGCUGGAUUUAUUAUUCCACGGUAGAUUUAAAAACUGCAAUAAUGCAAGUUGAUCUUUAUGUGUGUGCUCAACUGCUCAUAAAUGAAAAUAUAUCACAACACAACACAUCGACUCUUCAAAAAUCCUCAUGAUUUCCACGAAUUGAGUUUCAACUGUCAGUACAGAAAUCUCAAGCAAACUUUCAAAUGUCGUAGAUUUUUUCCUGGAGGAGUAACUUAGCAGUGUAAAUGGAGGUUUUUGUGAUGACAAGGAUGUUUCAAUUUGUAGCGACCAAGGAAUAUGAUUUAUUGUAUUAACUUCGAGAAUUUUCGCUACUUUAACCUAAGGCACUUUAUAAUUUAUCUAGUUGGUUGGAAGCAAAUAUAUUGCUCUGUUCCUGAAUUGAAGAAGAAAAAAAAUCCUGAUGCUGGACAAACUUCAUUGCCUAUCAGCAUUUAAGCCUUGUGUUGGAUUGUGGAUUUUGUUAAUGAAAAAAUCUCAAGAGAAAUUAAAAUGAAAGGAGGGAGAAUAUUUUUUUAGCUUCUCAUAAAAUCUUAUUUUGCUUUGCCUAGUGAAAUUUGGUUCCAAACAAAGUGAUAGUUUCUGAUGGACAUCAUGAUAUAGCCGAAGGGUUCUUCAGAGACAUAGGAUUAUCUUUUUCAGUCAUGAUUUGGACUUCUUGGUAUUGUGUUAGCAAAGUACCCAGAAUAAGUACUGAACUAUUACCGAUUAUUAUGUACGGCUUCUUGUAUUAUUCACUCUCAUAUGGCCAGUCAAAUGAUUUCUAAUAAAUUGUGCCUUGGCUUGUUGUAUAA